rnacentral:rRNA from 1 species
UACAGAGGUGGCAAGCGUUGUUCGGAAUUACUGGGCGUAAAGGGCGCGUAGGCGGCCAUCUAAGUCAGACGUGAAAUCCCCCGGCUCAACCUGGGAACUGCGUCUGAUACUGGACGGCUUGAGUUUGGGAGAGGGAUGUAGAAUUCCAGGUGUAGCGGUGAAAUGCGUAGAUAUCUGGAGGAAUACCGGUGGCGAAGGCGGCAUCCUGGACCAAUACUGACGCUGAGGCUCGAAAGCGUGGGGAUCAAACAGG